GAAAUCCUAUCUGGUAAGGCAUUAGCCAAGCCACCAGUAGCGAGUCUUGGAGUAGAGGGAGUAAUCCUGAUAUUUAAGCGUAGACAGUUAGGUAGUAGGCCCGAAGUCCGGGAGGACGAGUGAUUGAGCCUCGUAAGACUGAAUAAUAGGGAAGGACGACAGUGUCGACGUACUGGAAGACAACAUCUAGUUAAGCGUAACGGCAAGUUUAACUAGGCUUCCCCGGGGUCGAAGAGCC
rnacentral:ncRNA from 1 species